CCCUUAGAUGUCCUGGGCCGCACGCGCGUUACACUGAUGCAUUCAACGAGCUUAUAACCUUGGCCGAGAGGCCUGGGCAAUCUUGUUAACGUGCAUCGUGAUAGGGAUAGAUUAUUGAAAUUAUUAAUCUUGAACGAGGAAUUCCUAGUAAACGCAGAUCAUCAAUCUGCAUUGAUUACGUCCCUGCCCUUUGUACACACCGCCCGUCGCACCUACCGAUUGGAUGGUCCGGUGAAGCCUCGGGAUUGUGGUUCUUGCCGCUUUAUUGUGGCGUGACCGCGAGAACUUGUCUAAAUCUUAUCAUCUAGAGGAAGGUGAANUCGUANCA
rnacentral:rRNA from 1 species